UACGGAGGGUGCAAGCGUUAUCCGGAUUCACUGGGUUUAAAGGGAGCGUAGGCGGGCCUGUAAGUCCGUGGUGAAAGCCCUCAGCUUAACUGAGGAACUGCCAUGGAUACUAUAAGUCUUGAAUGUCGUUGAGGUUUGCGGAAUAGGUCAUGUAGCGGUGAAAUGCUUAGAUAUGACCUAGAACACCUAUUGCGAAGGCAGCAGGCUAAACGAAUAUUGACGCUGAGGCUCGAAAGCGUGGGGAUCAAACAGG
rnacentral:rRNA from 1 species